rnacentral:tRNA from 2 species
GAGCAGGAACAUUCGGCUCGGUCAUUCCGUGACUUUUAAUCAUGGGGUCGAGGGUUCGAGUCCCUCCGCGCUCACCA